AGAGUUUGAUCCUGGCUCAGAGUGAACGCUGGCGGCAGGCCUAACACAUGCAAGUCGAACGGCAGCGGGCAGUAGCAAUACUGUGCCGGCGAGUGGCGGACGGGUGAGGAAUACAUCGGAAUCUACCUUGUCGUGGGGGAUAACGUAGGGAAACUUACGCUAAUACCGCAUACGACCUACGGGUGAAAGCGGCGGACCGCAAGGCGUCGCGCGAUUGGAUGAGCCGAUGUCCGAUUAGCUAGUUGGCGGGGUAAAGGCCCACCAAGGCGACGAUCGGUAGCUGGUCUGAGAGGAUGAUCAGCCACACUGGAACUGAGACACGGUCCAGACUCCUACGGGAGGCAGCAGUGGGGAAUAUUGGACAAUGGGGGCAACCCUGAUCCAGCCAUGCCGCGUGUGUGAAGAAGGCCUUCGGGUUGUAAAGCACUUUUGUCCGGAAAGAAAAGCUUCGGGUUAAUACCCCGGGGUCAUGACGGUACCGGAAGAUAAGCACCGGCUAACUUCGUGCCAGCAGCCGCGGUA
rnacentral:rRNA from 1 species